GAUGAACGCUGACAGAAUGCUUAACACAUGCAAGUCGAUGGGGAAGUGGUGCUUGCACCAUGGUAACCAUGGCGGACGGGUGAGUAACGCGUAAGGAACUUGCCUGCGGGACUGGGAUAACAGCAGGAAACUGCUGAUAAUACCGGAUAAGGUCAUUAAGCUGUAUAGCUUAGUGAUGAAAGGAGACGCCUGCGGAGAGCCUUGCGUCCUAUUAGCUAGUUGGAGGGGUAACGGCCCACCAAGGCGAAGAUAGGUAGCCGGCCUGAGAGGGUGGACGGCCACAAGGGGACUGAGAUACGGCCCUUACUCCUACGGGAGGCAGCAGUGGGGAAUAUUGGACAAUGGGGGCAACCCUGAUCCAGCAAUUCUGUGUGCACGAAGACGGUUUUCGGAUUGUAAAGUGCUUUCAGCAGGGAAGAAGGAAGUGACGGUACCUGCAGAAGAAGCGACGGCUAAAUACGUG
rnacentral:rRNA from 1 species